AGCACCUCUUGUGCUCUUCCCCGAUUGGCUGAAUGGACACAACUGGCAGGAAGUCAGUAAGAGAGUAACAGUCCAGCAGGGUCCUGCUCCAGUAAGCAUCUCUUACUCAAGCCAAGAAGCACAACUUGGCAGCACAGAUAGGAAAUUGAUCAGAUCCAAUGACUUGGGUGUGUAAAUGAUGGUUUAGGACUUCAGCCUACACCCAGAGAGGUGUGUAGUAAUACAAAACAGAACAGUGUGUGUUGCCUGAGAGAGCUGACAGAGCAGUGGAAGCAGUAGUUGAGGUGAGAUAUGGCCCUAAACUCUCUGUCCAUCUCAGGAGGGCUUUUAGCCUCGUGCUAAGCGUGCAGGGCUGUCCUGGGCUAUUUACAGAGGUGACUUAUGGUGGCUAGUGUAAGGUACACUGUGUCUCUGUAAGAAGACACUGCUGCUCUGACAGGCAGGGGAUUGCUGAGGUGAAUACACUGACAGCGGAGCCCAGGUGCAUCGACUGUAGGCCGGCUGGUAAAGGGUCCUUUAGAUUUAUUUAUCCGUGAGGCGCUGCUUGAAUGCCAUGGGGCAAAGGACAAUAGACGCACUUAAGUGAUGCAAUCAUAAAUGGACACUGGAGCGGUUGUGUUCUUUAGGUCCAUUGGGCCAAGACAAGCUGACCCAAUCACAACUUGAUUGACAAUCAGACAGCAGGUGAUUGAAUAUGUGUGCAUUCAUCACUUGACAUAUACUUCCUGGUAUAUAGUUCCCUAUCAAUACCUCCCUCCAUCCUGUUCGUCAUGUUCUCACAUUCUCCAACCUGCCUCCUUCAGGUCAGCAUCUAUCUAGUCAUAUUUGGCAGGAUGCCACACCUGAAGGAUCCAUGAACCCUCAACUCGACCUCACCCCAUAAUUUCCACUUGUUCUGUUUGCCUUCCUCCUCACCUGUCAACAGCCUCCAACCCACUCAUCUGAAAUCCUAAGUGCAAAAGCCAUGACUGCAUCCAGGAAUCCCCAACUGUAGCCAAAUUCUCCAUGUGAAACCCUUCCCUUCCUUCCCCUCUUCCCACCGUGACCCUUCCCCGACAUGGACCAUAGAUCCAUCCAC